GACAGGACUCAAUGUUUCAGUUAACUGUUUCCUGUCAAGCAGGCAAAACAUGUUCAUCUUAUGGAAGCAAAAAUGACAGUUAUUUUAAGAUCAGGGUACCUUCCAAAGAAGCCAAAGGCAUUACAGAGAUGCAAAACUUGAGGAUUGUUGAGUUGAUUCAAGACUGUCUGGUCCAAAUCCCACCAAAUUAGUGGCAAGUUUGACCUUGACUGCAAUGAAUUUUAGAUGAGAUCCCACACUCUGAUUUUGGCUGUCUGGUUGGCUACUACAUCACAGUCCACUUCAGUUUGAAACAGACACCUGAUCUCGUGAUCCAUGUGAUGUUGUGUAUGCCACUGACGACACAGUCCUUGG